AGGACGAACGCUGGCGGCGUGCCUAAUGCAUGCAAGUCGCACGCAGUGCCUUCGGGUAUUGAGUGGCGCACGGCUGAGUAGCACGUGGGAACAUGCCCUUCAGUGGGGGAUAACACCGCGAAAGCGGUGCUAAGCCCGCAUACGCUCGUCGUAAGACGCGGAAAGCCGUAAGGCGCUGAGGGAGUGGCCCGCGGCCCAUCAGGUAGUUGGGGGGUAACGGCUUCCCAAGCCGAUGACGGGUAGCUGGUCUGUGAGGACAACCAGCCAGACUGGGACUGAGACACGGCCCAGACUCCUACGGGAGGCAGCAGCAAGGAAUUUUCGCAAUGGGCGCAAGCCUGAACGAGCAACGCCGCGUGGAGGAUGACGGCCUUCGGGUUGUAAACUCCUUUUGGGGGGAUGAUAAUGACAGUACCCCCGAUAAGGCUCGGCUAACUCUGUGCCAGCAGCCGC
rnacentral:rRNA from 1 species